rnacentral:rRNA from 1 species
GUAGGGUGCGAGCGUUGUCCGGAAUUAUUGGGCGUAAAGAGCUCGUAGGCGGUUUGUCGCGUCGUUCGUGAAAACUCCACGCUUAACGUGGAGCGUGCGGGCGAUACGGGCAGACUUGAGUUCGGUAGGGGAGACUGGAAUUCCUGGUGUAGCGGUGAAAUGCGCAGAUAUCAGGAGGAACACCGGUGGCGAAGGCGGGUCUCUGGGCCGAUACUGACGCUGAGGAGCGAAAGCGUGGGGAGCGAACAGGAUUAGAUACCCUGGUAGUCCACGCUGUAAACGUUGGGCGCUAGGUGUGGGCGACAUCCACGUUGUCCGUGCCGUAGCUAACGCAUUAAGCGCCCCGCCUGGGGAGUACGGCCGCAAGGCUAAA